UGAGGUGGGAGCUUAAAGACCUUUGACCUU
rnacentral:piRNA from 1 species